CUCACUUGCAGGUUUGGUUAUCAGUUAUCAACUUCCACUGGGAUAAACGACAAUUAGGAGGUGGUGGGGACAGGAGUCCUGCCUGUGAAGUCCCAGUUAAUCACCAAGCCAUACAACCUCCCCUAAAGAGUCAAGAGCGGAUGCAGGCUGUUGAUGUUUUUCAUUCAAAGCUCGCAAUGCACCGUUCUGAAAACUCUCCAGCGUAGAAUUCAGGAACCCUGAGUUUUCUAUCUCUGUCUAGUUCUGGACUGAAUGGGCUCAAGUCAUCUAGUUAACCUCUCUGGAUUUCAGUCUUCUGAAAAGUGAAGCUAAGAGAUCUAGCAUUCUGCAGAAAAGUACUGGAGAUGACUCAGGACUGAAAAUGAUCAUGAAGCCCCUUUGCAAAUAUCAAAGUGGUGAUGAAGCAGUCAUGAACUUUGACCAGAAGCCGUGUUUUGUGGGAUUGCCACUUUAAUCGCUCCUGUUCAUCAUUAGGACUGCAGCCAGAGUGUGGAAGGAGGGACUCCAAAUAUAUAAGAAGAUGCUACCACACCCUGGGAGAUUGGAUUCCCCACUGCGCUGGCUUUCUCAAGCUCUGUGAAAUGUGAUGUUGGCUGGAACUUAUCAUGAAGAGCUUUGCUGUAAAACAGAUCUGGGUGACAGCACAGAGGAAGAGAUGGUCCAAGACCAAAGAGGAAAGAAAUGGCAUAAGAUGGGACAGUGUUCUAUGAUCUCUAACUGGCCAAAGAAAAAUGAGAAACAAAUUUAAAAGAAGACAGUUGGAUGACUUAAACACCACCCCUGAGAGGCAGCUGUUUCCAGAAUAUUGCACAAUUUAUUGAGUUCAUGAGAAUCGUGAUCGUUGGCAGCACCGAACUUCACGGAGGGAAUCAUAGGCACUUUAAUUCCAAUUUGUUGACUUAUGGAGGAAGAAAUUUCUCCCAGUGGUGUCCCUUCAUCCAGGAACAAGAGCCAUCAAAGUGUCACAGACUUAGAGCCGGAAGGGCUCUCCGCUAGUGUUUCUGCCAGUCCUCUUGGUUUUACACAUGAGGAAACUGAGGCCCAGAGAAGUUACCCAGUAGCAGAUCUGCAAGUCACCCAGUAGCAGAUCUGCAAGGAGCUCUUAGCAAUCCUGACUCCAAGUGUAAUGCUCUUGCAUUAGCUCUGUGCUGCCUCCUAGAUGUUGGUCUUCUUAAUGUUGAUAGCACAUUUGCUCAAAUGUUUGCUAAUAUGGUUUGGCUGUGUCCUCACCCAAAUCUCAUCUUGAAUUGUAGUUCCCAUAAUCCCCACUUGUCGUGGCAGGGACCCAGUGGGAGGUAAUUUAAUCAUGGGUGUGGUUACCCUCAUGCUGUUCUCAUGAUAGGGAGUGAAGUCUCACGAGAUCUGAUGGUUUUAUAAACAAGAGUUCUCCUGCACAAGCUCUGUUGCCUGCUGCCAUGUAAGAAGUCCCUUUGCUCUUCCUUCAUCUUCCGCCAUGAUUGUGAGGCCUCCCCAGCCAUAAGGAACCAUGAGUUCAUUAAACCUCUUUUUUUAUAAAUUACACAGUCUCCAGUAUGUCUUUAUUAGUAGCGUGAGAACAGACUAAUACA
rnacentral:lncRNA from 10 species